UUAACUACUUGGUCCUCUUAGGGAGUUAAC
rnacentral:piRNA from 1 species